rnacentral:rRNA from 1 species
CAGUCGCCGCGGGAAUACGUAGGUGGCAAGCGUUGUCCGGAAUUAUUGGGCGUAAAGGGCUCGCAGGCGGUUUCUUAAGUCUGAUGUGAAAGCCCCCGGCUCAACCGGGGAGGGUCAUUGGAAACUGGGAAACUUGAGUGCAGAAGAGGAGGGUGGAAUUCCACGUGUAGCGGCGAAAUGCGUAGAGAUGUGGAGGAACACCAGUGGCGAAGGCGACUCUCUGGUCUGUAACUGACGCUGAGGAGCGAAAGCGUGGGGAGCAAACAGGAUUAGAUACCCGCGUAGUCCCUGUCUCUUAUAA